rnacentral:lncRNA from 1 species
UGAGUUCGUUAACUUCUCCAACUUCAAGAUCGACACGAAGAACAAAGCCUUCACCAAGCACACGGUCAGGGAGUCUGAUUCCAUAGAGAAAGCUUGUCCUGCAAGUAACACAGUCCAGAAACUACAUAAAAGCCAUCUUUCUGUGAAGAUCCACAGAGAGAACGAAGAUGAUGAAGAUCAUGAGUAUAGAACCGAGAAAAAAUACCACCAAAGGAGAGUUUCAAGUGGAAGAAAAUCCUCAGCAGGGGCAGGGAUAAACCUCAAAAGAGUAAAUUCACCUAGAAUUCAACUCUCAGGUACGCGUAGAAGCACGUCAAGAAGACCAGAGAGCAGACAAGAUGUUCUUGAGAGCUUUGCAGUGAUGAAACGGUCCGUUGAUCCAAAGAAAGAUUUCAAGGAAUCAAUGAUUGAGAUGAUAGAAGAAAACAACAUCAGAGCUUCAAAAGACUUGGAAGAUCUUCUCGCUUGUUACCUCUCUUUGAAUCCAAAGGAGUAUCAU